UAGUGUUGUGAAGCAUAAACAAUAUAAACAUGGAAUACGUUGAUACACACCGAAAGCCGGGAAUCCACAGAUCAUGUGGAUGUCUUAUUUGUCUGCCUGUGACCUACCGCUAUUGAUCACCUACCCCGAGAGUCUAAAUGUUUAUUUUACACAAAGUUGUCACCAAACAGCAAACAUCUUACAAGAGUGGAGGAUGUCGAGCAUUUGGACGAUGACAUUUGGGCCGCCCCUCCCCAGCAAGCACACCCUCCGGUCAAGGUCUUCACCCCCCACUGCUAUGUCAAUCACACAGUCUGAUGGUUCUACAUCCACCACCCGACAAAGGCCCCACUCCUCUUCAACCACCCCCACUGCCGGCCCUGGCACCACUCCCCUCUCUGCAAGUUAAUCUGGAGGUGAAGGGGCAGGGAGGAGAUCUAGGCCUCAUGAAAGAAGAGGGGGGAGCAGAGGGAGAGGCAGUGGAAGCAGCACAACAGAGGGAGAUGAAACUGAGGACAGGUGGCAUGAAGUCCUUGAAGAUGAUGAGGAUACAGAUCAAUUUAGGUUUAAACCCAAACUACCAUUUAGGUUUAAGCCCACAGUUGGUUAGUGAUGAAACAUAUACCCCCUUACAGCUGUUUCAGCUCUACUUUACAACCUCUGUACUGGGAACACUAAUUAGUAAUACCAACAUGUAUGGGGCCAAGAAGCAACAGGGGGGAAGGAAGAUGUCCUGGAAAACUGUCACCUUGGGUGACAUGCUCGACUACAUUUCCUUGGUGAUUUACAUGGGACUGGUCAAGGUAUCAAGACUAGUUGACAACUGGAGCAAGUCCCCACUCUAUCACUUCGAGUUCCCCACCUCCUUCAUGAGUGAAAAAUUAUUACUGGCCAUCAACCGUAGUCUUCACAUGAGUGACCCACAAAAGGAUCAGGAGAAUGACCAGAAGAAGGGGACUGCAGGGCAUGAUUGUCUUGCAAGAGUCAAGCCCCUUUAUCAUGACAUGGUGGAGGCAUGCAAAACUUACCUCCAGCCUGCUCAAAAUCUAUCUAUAUGUGAGUGGAUGGUUGCCACAAAGGCUUGAAUUGGCUUGAAGAAAUAUAUGAAACAUAAGCCAACCAAAUGGGGCUACAAGCUCUUUGUGUUAGCAGAUUCAGACUCUGCCUACAUGUGGAACUUUUUCAUCUAUGAAGGCAAGGCGAUCACACCCACUGGGAAGGGCCUUAGUUACGACUCUGUCAUGCAGCGGCUGGACUUCCCCUUACUUGGCAGUGGGUACAAGCUCUUUGUGGACAAUUUUUUUCUAGUCCCAUGCUUUUCAUAGUCCUCUUGAAAAAGGACAAUAUGGGCUUGUGAGACCAUUCGUCCUACCAGAAUCGGUUUCCCCAAUACCAAGGUAAACGACAUGACAAAGACAGCGGAGAGGGGGACCAUACGUUGGAUCAGGACUAACAAGCUGUUUUUUGUGAAAUGGAAGAACGACACAGCAUAAGGCAUUCAAUAACGACCAUGUCUCAAGGAGGGUGAAAAAUGCCAAUGAGGCAAGGGUGAGGAAUAAUGUCCCCAUUCCUGUUUCUUUGAAGGACUACAAUGCCAGCAUGGGGAGUGUCGACCUAACUGAUGCUCUGAUAGGCUACUACCAGGUCCUCCUCAAGACCAGGAAGUGGUAUAAUGGUUUUUUUUUACACUUUGUGGACAUGGCGACAGCAAAUGCUUCCAUUCUCCACAAGCAGAUGAAAAAAAAGUUAAACCCCUCUCUCCCAGUUGGCCG